CCUACGGGGUGCAGCAGUCGAGAAUCAUUCACAAUGGGGGAAACCCUGAUGGUGCGACGCCGCGUGGGGGAAUGAAGGUCUUCGGAUUGUAAACCCCUGUCAUGUGGGAGCAAAUUAAAAAGAUAGUACCACACGAGGAAGAGACGGCUAACUCUGUGCCAGCAGCCGCGGUAAUAAAGAGGUCUCAAGCGUUGUUCGGAAUCACUGGGCGUAAAGCGUGCGUAGGCUGUUUCGUAAGUCGUGUGUGAAAGGCGCGGGCUCAACCCGCGGACGGCACAUGAUACUGCGAGACUAGAGUAAUGGAGGGGGAACCGGAAUUCUCGGUGUAGCAGUGAAAUGCGUAGAUAUCGAGAGGAACACUCGUGGCGAAGGCGGGUUCCUGGACAUUAACUGACGCUGAGGCACGAAGGCCAGGGGAGCGAAAGGGAUUAGAUACCCUUGUAGUC
rnacentral:rRNA from 1 species